rnacentral:rRNA from 1 species
UGCCAGCCGCCGCGGUAAUACGGAGGGGGCGGGCGUUAUUCGGAAUUACUGGGCGUAAAGGGUGCGUAGGCGGCCCAUCAAGUUAGACGUGAAAGCCCCGGGCUCAACCUGGGAAUUGCGUUUAAUACUGGUGAGCUAGAGUACGAAAGAGGAAAGUGGAAUUCCUAGUGUAGAGGUGAAAUUCGUAGAUAUUAGGAAGAACACCAGUGGCGAAGGCGGCUUUCUGGACCAAUACUGACGCUGAGAUGCGAAAGCGUGGGGAGCGAACAGGAUUAGAUA